rnacentral:rRNA from 1 species
AGAUUGAACGCUGGCGGCAGGCCUAACACAUGCAAGUCGAGCGGUAGAGAGGUGCUUGCACCUCUUGAGAGCGGCGGACGGGUGAGUAAUGCCUAGGAAUCUGCCUAGUGGUGGGGGAUAACGUUCGGAAACGGACGCUAAUACCGCAUACGUCCUACGGGAGAAAGCGGGGGACCUUCGGGCCUCGCGCCAUUAGAUGAGCCUAGGUCGGAUUAGCUAGUUGGUGAGGUAAUGGCUCACCAAGGCGACGAUCCGUAACUGGUCUGAGGGGAUGAUCAGUCACACUGGAACUGAGACACGGUCCAGACUCCUACGGGAGGCAGCAGUGGGGAAUAUUGGACAAUGGGCGAAAGCCUGAUCCAGCCAUGCCGCGUGUGUGAAGAAGGUCUUCGGAUUGUAAAGCACUUUAAGUUGGAGAAGGGUUGUAACUUAAUACGUUGCAACUUUGACGUUACCGACAGAAUAAGCACGGCUAACUCGUGCCAGCAGCCG